rnacentral:misc_RNA from 1 species
AGCCUAUGCACCCUAAGGGGGUCCCCGACUAUAACUGGGACAGCAAGUAGCCGCUGCGGCGGCUGCAACAUGAUCGAAUUGCGGGGACGUCCUAAAGCUUAGUGGUACCACCCGCCUGGGGAAACCUAGGUGUGGCCCUCCGGGGAGGUCACAACCCGCUAAGAUGUACAAUGGAUGAUCCGCAGCGAAGCCCCUACGGCCGUCAGGCACGGGGAACGUCCACAGACUAAGUGGUCAUGGGCACCGCGGUGCUUAAGAGAUAGUCGGCCAGCCUGGGAGACCAGCCUGACACCCAGCGUUCCGUAGGUGAACCUGCGGAAGGAUCAUUACAGAGUUCCUGCCCUCACGGGUAGAAACCCCACCCUUGUGUAUACUAUAUUGUUGCUUUGGCAGGCCGCCCCCCGGCGUCGGCUCACGCUGACCGUGCCUGCCAGAGGACCCUCAACUCUGCAAUACAGUGUCGUCUGAGUACUAUUUAAUAGUUAAAACUUUCAACAACGGAUCUCUUGGUUCUGGCAUCGAUGAAGAACGCAGCGAAAUGCGAUAAGUAAUGUGAAUUGCAGAAUUCAGUGAAUCAUCGAAUCUUUGAACGCACAUUGCGCCCCUUGGUAUUCCGAGGGGCAUGCCUGUUCGAGCGUCAUUUAUACCAACUCCUAUUCUAUAGGGUCUUGGGCUUCGCCUCUAGGCGGGCCUUAAAAUCAGUGGCGGUGCCCUAAGGCUCUACGCGUAGUAAUACUCCUCGCGAUAGGGUCCUUAGGGUGUCUAGCCAGCAACCCCCAACUUAU